rnacentral:rRNA from 1 species
CGUGACCGAGCGACGCCGCGUGCGGGACGAAGGCCCUUGGGUUGUAAACCGCUGUCGUAGAGGGGCAAGUGUAUGGGGGUACUCCCCUGUAUUUGAGCGAUUCUAGGAGGAGGGGGAGGCUAAGCUCGUGCCAGCAGCCGCGGUAAGACGAGCUCCCCGAACGUUAUUCGGUAUCACUGGGCUUAAAGAGUUCGUAGGCGGCUCGACAGGUGAGGUGUGAGAUCCCACGGCCUAACCGUGGAAUUGCGCUUCAAACCGUCGGGCUUGAGGGAUGCAGGGGUAAGCGGAACAGAUGGUGGAGCGGCGAAAUGCGUUGAUAUCAUCUGGAACACCGGUGGCGAAGGCGGCUUACUGGGCAUUCACUGACGCUGAGGAACGAAAGCUAGGGUAGCGAACGGGAUUAGAUACCCCGGUAGUCCUAGCCGUAAACGAUGAGCACUGGUCUGGGGGGACCCUCACAUCCUCCCGGACGUAGCGAAAGUGUUAAGUGCUCCGCCUGGGGAGUAUGGUCGCAAGGCUG